rnacentral:rRNA from 1 species
UACGAAGGGGGCUAGCGUUGUUCGGAAUUACUGGGCGUAAAGCGCGCGCAGGCGGUCCUUCAAGUCAGAGGUGAAAGCCCAGAGCUCAACUCUGGAAUUGCCUUUGAAACUGCAGGACUUGGGUACGGGAGAGGUGAGUGGAAUUCCGAGUGUAGAGGUGAAAUUCGUAGAUAUUCGGAAGAACACCAGUGGCGAAGGCGGCUCACUGGCCCGUUACCGACGCUCAGGCGCGACAGCGUGGGGAGCAAACAGG